CAAGUCCAAAUUAUAAUCCUUUCACAUGGAUGUUUUUCCUGGUUUCAUGUCCUAACUACACCUAUGAGAUUGGAUCAUGGGUUAGUUUCACAGUCAUGACACAGACAUUGCCAGUUGGAAUUUUUACACUUCUGAUGAGUAUCCAGAUGUCUUUCUGGGCAAAAAAGAAGCAUAAGAUUUAUUUGAAGAAAUUCAAUUCAUA